GACGAACGCUGGCAGCGUGCUUAACACAUGCAAGUCGAACGGUAAGGCCCUUCGGGGUACACGAGUGGCGAACGGGUGAGUAACACGUGGGUGAUCUGCCCUGCACUUCGGGAUAAGCCUGGGAAACUGGGUCUAAUACCGGAUAGGACCACUGCCUGCAUGGGUGGUGGUGGAAAGCUUUUGCGGUGUGGGAUGGGCCCGCGGCCUAUCAGCUUGUUGGUGGGGUGAUGGCCUACCAAGGCGACGACGGGUAGGCGGCCUGGGAGGGUGACCGGCCACACUGGGACUGAGAUACGGCCCAGACUCCUACGGGAGGCAGCAGUGGGGAAUAUUGCACAAUGGGCGCAAGCCUGAUGCAGCGACGCCGCGUGAGGGAUGACGGCCUUCGGGUUGUAAACCUCUUUCAGCACCGACGAAGCGCAAGUGACGGUAGGUGCAGAAGAAGGACCGGCCAACUACGUGCCAGCCGCCGCGGUAACAC
rnacentral:rRNA from 1 species